AGCAGCCGCGGUAAUUCCAGCUCCAAUAGCGUAUAUUAAAGUUGUUGCAGUUAAAAAGCUCGUAGUUGAAUUUCGGGAUCAGUACGCUGGUCAUGCCUUUGGUAUGCACUGGUGUCACUGGUUUCUCCCUUCUGAAGAUCCGUGAUGUCAUUAAUUUGGUGUCGCGGGGAAUCAGGACUGUUACUUUGAAAAAUUAGAGUGUUUAAAGCAGGCUCACGCUUGAAUACAUUAGCAUGGAAUAAUGAAAUAGGACGUUUGACCCUAUUUUGUUGGUUUCUAGGAUCGACGUAAUGAUUAAUAGGGAUAGUUGGGGGCAUUAGUAUUCAAUUGUCAGAGGUGAAAUUCUUGGAUUUAUUGAAGACUAACUACUGCGAAAGCAUUUGCCAAGGAUGUUUUCAUUAAUCAAGAACGAAAGUUAGGGGAUCGAAGACGAUCAGAUACCGUCGUAGUCUUAACCAUAAACUAUGCCGACUAGGGAUCGGAUGAUGUUAAUUUUAUAAUGACUCU
rnacentral:rRNA from 1 species